AUCUAGCUGACGAGUCCCAGAUAGGACGAAAUGCGUGUUCUAAU
rfam:Schistosoma haematobium scaffold2089_6, whole genome shotgun sequence.